GCUUGUCUCAAAGAUUAAGCCAUGCAUGUCUAAGUAUAAAUAGUAUACAGUGAAACUGCGAAUGGCUCAUUAAAACAGUUAUAGUUUAUUUGAUAAUUGAAAAUUACAUGGAUAACCGUGGUAAUUCUAGAGCUAAUACAUGCUAUCAAGCCCGACUUCUUGAAGGGUUGUAUUUAUUAGACUUAAGCCAAUAUUCCUUGUGUCUAUUGCGAUGAUUCAUAAUAACUGAUCGAAUCUCAAAUUUGAGAUAAAUCAUUCAAGUUUCUGCCCUAUCAACUGUCGACUGUGAUAUAGACGCUCACAGUGGUUUUGACGGGUAACGGGGAAUCAGGGUUCGAUUCCGGAGAGGGAGCCUUAAAAACGGCUACCACAUCCAAGGAAGGCAGCAGG
rnacentral:rRNA from 1 species